rnacentral:tRNA from 1 species
UUGGCUUGUAGUUUAUAGAGAACAUGACUGUGAAGUAGUUAAAGAAGGCAGAUUCCUUGAGCUAAU